CCUCAGAGCUGGUGGAGAGGCAGAGCGCCGGCAGCGGGGUAAAUUCGUAGACGUGGAAUUCCUGGAUCAAAUGGUCACCAAUUGUUUCAGCAUCAUUUAUUGAAUAAUCCAACCUCCUUCCACUGAUUUGAAAUGGCAAGAACUGUCCUCCCACUAGAUAGGGUGUAGCUUUCCACAGGUACUCGGAGAAUUAAAGCUGUCUGGACUCAGUUCCUGGAAUUUUCUAGAAUGGUAUAAGAGUAAAAUGUAAGAAAUGCAUAAGGAGCAAAAAUAAUGUUUGCCAGCCUGUUGCUGGCCAUAGUCUGAUCUAGGGAUUUAAAGGAGGUGUGAUGAGUCCCCCAAUCCAUGCCACCACUGCUACCAUCCACCAUCUCUUCUAGAUAGGGACAUACCCCAGGGAUUCACCUCUUUUCACUGCAGGUGGAAGGCUCAAGAAUAAACCACGAAGUCUUUUAGUGGGAGAUGGGUUAAAUGUUGCUCACAGAAAUAUUUGACUGUUAAAAUCACCUGCUACCCGCUGUUGACCCUCCCCACCCCCACUCCCAACACAGCCUUCUUUUUCUAUUGACUUCUGGCUCUGGCCUCUAGCCUUUACUGAUUCUGGAAGAAAAAAAAGGGGCGUGGGUGGGAGGAUGCGUUGCCUGCCCUUACAGCGAGGGGCUCCUUUGGCUCACAGCCACAGCCCCAGUCAUUUCUUGACUUGCCGCAUUAGGCUGUGAUUUGUUUGUGACUGGAGGUUGGUUUCCAUGGCAACGGGAGCUCUCCCGGGCAUGCGCAUUCGCUCCGCCGCAGUGGUAGAAUGCGGCUGCAGAGGCAAGGGAGGGGUCUUGCGGGCCCCAGUCGCUGAAGGAGUUAUUCUGCAGUCAUGAUGUCAGUUUUUCUGGGCUAAAAUGCAACCAUUCUUGUCUGUAGAGCAUUGCCUUUUUUUUUUUAAUCCUUGGAAGGCUUUGAGCCACUCCCAUUUUCUUCCUCCCAAAUUACCUGCUCUCAAUAUGUCCACCUGUGAUCACGACGUCUUCCCAAUCUUUGAGGCCACUCAGGGCCCCAAGGGGAUCCAUAACAGUGUGGGCACAGGUAACAGGCUGCCUGGUUUCAAAGCUCCACCACUUGCUUGCUGCAUGAGCGCACUACAGUUACUUAAUUUCUCUGUGCCUCAGUUUCCUCAGAUGUAAAAUGGGGAUAUUAAUAGCACCUUUAGAACAGUGUCUGGUAAUGAUAACCACUGUAUAAAUGUUGGCUAUUAUUAUUUGUAGAUAUUAAAUUAAAGGAGACUUGCCCUGAAACAGGCUUGCGCUGCAAUGUACAAACUCACCCUCUAAUGUCCCAUGGCCAAAUAACACAAGCACACAAACUCUUCCCAUUGCAAAUGGAUAAGUACCACGGCCAAAAACUUGCCCCACAGCACACAGAAAUUCCCUAUAUCACCCAGACUCAUCCACAGACACACAUAUCCUCCCUAAGGCAAAA